CGAAUGAUGCUGUGGAGUUUCUUGGCAUUUCUUUUGCCUUGGGGGAAAAAAAUCAUAUCUGGUUUUCUGUGUUAAUGCGGAUGACACCUAUUGAUUGACAUAUUCUUGCACCAGAAAAAGGGUUGUAAUUAUCAAAAGAUGCCUGAUCUAUUGUGUUCCUUUUAAAUAACAUAUGGUUUGCGAGGUAUAAAGUUGAUGCAUUUGUGAAUUCUAAAUUAUUAAUGCUUUUGGUUUCAGAUGUUUUCCAAGGUAUCUUGGGAAGUAAACUCAAGAAGGAUAAUUGCCAUCUACCAAAGAUUCAUAUCUAUGGCUUUUCCAAAGCAGAAAAUCCAGAGUUUGACUUCCAUGAGAGGAUCAACAAGGUCUUGUGUGACAAGGUGAUAGAGAUUGAUAUGCACAGAGUCCGACUUGUUGCGCCUGGAAAAUGGAUGCUGUGCGGAUCAUUUAUUUUGCCACCAAGUAUUGCUUUUGCGGAUUAACUGUACUCUCCAGGUCCUUUUCAAUCUAUAAUUUUGCAUGGAUAUGUGGAUUCAUCAUGAUCUUAAUUGGCUACAUUGGCAAUCUUAUGCUAUGUUGGUGACAACUAGAUUUCAUACAUUAUUAAAGCCAAUGCCACAUCCCGCAUGGAAGGCUU